rnacentral:rRNA from 1 species
CGCGUAGGCGGCCUGUUAAGUCGAACGUGAAAUCCCCGGGCUCAACCCGGGAACUGCGUCCGAUACUGGCAGGCUUGAAUUCGGGAGAGGGAUGCGGAAUUCCAGGUGUAGCGGUGAAAUGCGUAGAUAUCUGGAGGAACACCGGUGGCGAAGGCGGCAUCCUGGACCGAGAUUGACGCUGAGGCGCGAAAGCCAGGGGAAGCAAACG